CCUUCCUUUCCUUUCCUUUCCUCCUCCUCCUCUUCCUCAAUCUCUCAUCGAAGAACGCUUCACGGCUUUAUAGGAGGACCCGAUCGAGCAAAGUCACGACAGUCUGAGCUGAGUACGCGUGGGUGUUUAUCUAUCGGUACAUAUACCGUAAAUGCAUACAUAUAUAUUUGACUUACACAUAACGGUGAGUUUUAUCUAUUUAUUGACCUUUUAAAUAAUUCAUUAAAAAGCUGAAACGAAGCGUCUUUAAAUGGGACGGCAGCAGAAAAACAGCGGAAGGAUGUCCAAUGAAAGCAAAGCAUGGCUGCGGAGGUCUUUUUUUGAAUGGAGGGGGGUUACACUGUUUGACACUUCAAGGCUGCUGACCUAAUAUUUGUCCUGACAUUAUAUUUUGUAUAUGCUACGAUGCUACGAUGUGUCUAACUUAACUUAACUCCCCCCUCCCUCCUCUCCCCCCCUUCCUGAGAUUUACGUCUUCAAAGAUUUGAAGUGUUGUGCAGAAAUAUGGUGAUAAUAUUUUUUGAUGUUUAAAGGGAAACCCCAACACAUUUUUUUUGUGUAAAAACAAAAAACAAAAAAAAAAAAGUUGUAUAAUGUGGCCUUAGGUUCAAAAUGAGACGACGAAGAGCUGAAGCUGGAUAUCUUGGAUAGAUGUUGAGUGUCUACAGCUUGCCCAAUCCAAAUAUUACACAGUAUAAAAAGGUUAAAAUGUACAUUUAUUACAUAAAUGAAGGCUUGUGUAGUUUUUUGAAGAAAAAAAACCAUACAUAGAUAUAUAAUUUUCUUUCAGUUUCUUUAUUGUACAGUUUUUAUUUUAUUUUAAACAUUUAAUUCCGACAAAAAAAGCAUUUAAUAUUUCAUUCUCAUUGAACUGUAAAUAUAUUUAAAUCCUUCAAUGAUUCAUUUCUGCCAUAGAGCUAUAUGUAUGAAUGUUAUUAAUGAUUUUGUUUAAUGCGUUUCUUUAUGUUUGAAAUACAGAAAGCAAGAAUAAGCUUUAGUUUCGCCAACCUGCUGACCGACCGUAAAUUUGCGACUUUGCCCCGUGGCAGCGGCAGAAGGUUUCAUGAGUUUCAUUUUUCAGUCCUCCAGGCAGUUUGCUGUUCAUUGACAUCCUGUUCAGAGUUCACAUGGGACAGGCGGUAAUAAAAACACAUAGUAGUGAUCAAACCACAGAGACGGGGAGGCUCAGGGCUUGAGAGGAAAAGACAGAUUCAUGUAUGAUUGGGUGUUCGAUUAGAUGAAAUGGGUGAAAUGAAAAGAGAGAAAUAGAGAAGAUCUACCUUCUCUCUUUCUCUCUCUCUCUGUGUCUGAUCUGUUUUCUCUCUGCUCUCUCUCUCUCUGUCCCUGGCGGCCUCCUGCCUGUAAAUACCUUCAGCAUCAGUGACACUGCUCUUCUCUCUGUGUCCAGGCUAUAUGACGUGUACGUAUGACAUUAUCAAACUACUAUGGAUGUUAAAUAACAAAGUGCUCAUGUGAUCACAAACUC